rfam:Pteropus alecto contig15686, whole genome shotgun sequence.
GUCUUCGGCCAUGUCACCCUGAACAAGCCCGAUGUCUGAUCUCAGAAGCUAAGCAGGGUCGGGCUUGGUUAGUGCUUGGAUGGGAGACCACCUAGGAAGACCAGGUGCUGUAGGCA